rnacentral:rRNA from 1 species
GUCUCUGGCCAUAUCAGUCUGAAUAUGCCCAUCUCAUUUGUUCUCAGAAGCUAAGCAGGGUUGGGCCUCUUUGUACUUGAACAGGAGACUAAAAGAAAAAAGUAGCUAUCAGAUAAU